UAGGAGAAGGGGACACACACAAGUUAUAAAAAGCUAUUGAUGGUCAGGGCCCCCUUAUAAGUUAAAAAAAAACAUUGGUGCCAGGGCCCCCCAUGCUCUCUCAAAAGUGCAGCACUGCUGGGCGCCCCUUCAUGCCCGGGCCUGAGACACUUGUCCCCCCUUGAUGGUGGCCCUGCGUGGUGGGGAAGGGGGCAGACGGUGAGCAGAGCCGGCCUAGGGGCUUGUGGAUUGUAAAACUGGACAAUUGGUGAAAACAGUCAAGACUAUGCCUUUACUCUAUGGAAGCAUUAAAAGGUUUCUACUAAAUGGGGAUUAUGAUUGUGAAAUAUACGCUACUGGAGGAGAAGUUGAAAUUACUUUGGUUAUCUCUCAUGUCUCCUUAAAGGGGUGGUUCACUUUUAAGUGUCUUCAACUCUAUGCUGCCAUUCUCCAUAUUCCGGAGGCAUGGGUCUCUUCCAGUAUCUCGGGAUUAAUGACCUAGCCGUACUCAGCAAAUGCAUGGUAUAAAACCCGCUUGAUCUUCGUGUAUCAAAUCUGGUAGGUAUUUUUUUAAUCUAUUGGCUAUUAUUUUGGCAUAGAUUUUUAGAUCAAUGUUUAUUAGAGAUAUGGGUCUGUAGCUUGCACAUUGCUGGGGGUCUUUCCCUUCCUUUGGUAUUAUAGUGAUAUGUGCUUCUUUCCCUUGCUUAUGAAACCCUUGUGUUUGGUCAAUAGAAUUAAAGUAAUCGCUUAAUAGUAGUAUUAACUCCAUCUUAUAUGUUUUGUAAUAUAUUGCGCUAAAACCAUCUGGUCCAGGGCUUUUCCCUUCAGCCAUUGAGUCUAUAGUAUUACUAAUUUCUUGAAAAGUAAAUGGGGAGUCUAACCCUGCCCUCUCGCUUGUUGUUAAGUGCGGUAACUGUGCUCUAUUAAUAAAUUGUUCCAUUUCCUCCCUGUUAUCUUUUUGUCUCUCUCCUUCUUGUAUUCUAUAUAAUGAUUGAUAAUAUUGUUGAAAAGUUUCAACUAUACUAUGUGUAUCAUAAUGAGUUUU